UAGAAUAUUAUUUAGUAACAAUAUAUUAAAUAUAAUAUGACACAACAAUAAAUCAAAUUAAAGAUAAUACAAAUAAAAUAGGAUAUUAUAAGACACACCCUUUUUCCAAAUUUUUAUCCCACAUUACAUCCCUAAACCCUAAUAAUUAUCCCAAAUUUUAUGUCCUAAUUCAAGAUUUAAUCAAUCCUAGUAUAAACGAUAAAACCCUAA
rnacentral:lncRNA from 1 species